AUGAACGCUGGCGGCAUGCCUAAGACAUGCAAGUCGAACGAGGUGGCCCUUGAAGGAUGCGUGCUUGCACAAUUCCGGAAAAGGAUCUCCACCUAGUGGCAGACGGGUGAGUAACACGUGGGUGACCUACCUUAAGUUGGGGAUAACAGUUGGAAACGAUUGCUAAUACCGAAUUAGAUGUAACUGUCAAUGUUAUAUUGAAAGGAGCCUUUAAGCUUCGCUUAGAAAUGGGCCUGCGGUGUAUUAACUAGUUGGUGAGGUAAUGGCUCACCAAGGUAACGAUGCAUAGCCGGACUGAGAGGUUGAACGGCCACACUGGGACUGAGACACGGCCCAGACUCCUACGGGAGACAGCAGUUAGGAAUAUUCGUCAAUGGGGGAAACCCUGAACGAGCAAUGCCGCGUGGAAGUGAUGAAGGUCUUUGGAUUGUAAAACUCUGUUGUAUGGAAAAAACGACUAGGUUAGGAAAUGAACUUAGUGUGAUGGUACCAUACCAGAAAGCCCCGGCUAACUACGUGCCAGCAGCCGC
rnacentral:rRNA from 1 species